ACAGCGUUGUACCAGAUCUUCAGUUUCUUUGCAUGGAAUAGACAUUAUUUCUCUGAACAAGAAUAGACUGACGACUUUCAGAAGAAAUCUUGUUAGGGAAAGGGAGCAGCAUUGGGAAGCUUGAAUGAAGGAGGUGCCCAAUGUAAACUGCCUAUUACUCAGGCCCAGAAGCUAGGAUAUGCAUAUAAUUGUUAGUAUUGGGUAGAAACACUCUAAAGUUUCCAAACUGUUAAAAUAAUGUCUGUGAGUAUAGCAGAACUGAUAUGGCAGGUGAAAACCUGAGACAAAUCCAUCCAGGAAGUUGAUUUUUUUUUGAUGUGGCUGUUUUUCAAUUCAAUGCCUAUACAGAAUGUAAUGGGUAGGAGCCAGAUUGAAGUUCCUAUGGCUUCCACUAGAUGUCAACAAUCUUUAGACAUGCUUUCAGGCUUUUAUUUUGAAAAACAACGAGUAAAAAUACCUUUUGGUCAGUGGACAGGCUGAAGCAGGCAGAGCUGGAUUGGGCGCGUGACCGUGAGUGCGCUGUUCACUGUUUUUCCUUUCUAUUGAAAAUGCUAUUGUCCAGUUGAAAUGUUAUUAUUUAGACAAUAGACAACCUGAGGAUUAAUUAUAAACAUCGUUUGACACGUUUCGACGAACUUUACCGGUACAAUUAGGAUGUAUUCGUCUGCCUGUUGUGACCGCCUUUGAGUUUUUUGGAUAUGAAGAGGGACUUUCUUGUGAGAGCAACCAGAUGAAGAUUAUCAAAGGCAAGUGAUUAAUUUUAUCGCUAUUUCCGACUUGCGUGACUCCUCUACUGAAAAAUGUUUGUAUGCUUUUGAAGCGGGGCGCUGUCCAAAGAUAAUCACAUGGUAUGCUUUCGCCUUAAAGCCUUUUUGAAAUCUGACACAGCGGCUGGAUUAACAAGAGGUCCACAGACGACGCAAGUGUAAUCACACUGGAAACUUCAGGAAACAGCAGAGGGAGCACAACCCAUCCACAUUGACGAUGGGACAGUAGUGGAGAAGGUGGAAAGUUGUUUAAGUUCCUCGGCGUACACAUCACAGACAAACUGAAAUGGUCCACCCACAUAGAUAGUGUGGUGAAGAAGGAGCAACAGCGCCUGUCACCAUAAACACUCACAAACUUUUACAAAUGCACAAUCGAGAGCAUCCUUUCGGGCUGUAUCACCGCCUGGUAUGGCAACUGCUCCGCCCACAACCGUAAGGCUCUCCAGAGGGUAGUGAGGUCUGCACAACGCAUCACCGGGGGCAAAAUACCUGCCUUCCAGGACACCUACACCACCCGAUGUCACAGGAAGGCCAAAAAGAUCAUCAAGGACAACAAUCACCCGAGCCACUGCCUGUUCACCCCACUACCAUCCAGAAGGUGAGGUCAGUACAGGUGCAUCAAAGCUGGGACCGAGAGACUGAAAAACAGCUUCUAUCUCAAGGCCAUCAGACUGUUAAACAGCCAUCACUAACAUUGAGUGGCUGCUGCCAACAUACUGGCUCAAUAUCUAGCCACUUUAAUAACAAAAAAUUCUAUGUCAUAAAUGUAUCACAAUUCACUAAAACAAUGCCACUUCAUAUGAUGUUUACAUACCCUACAUUACUCAUCUCAUAUGUAUAUACUGUACUCUAUACCAUUUACUGCAUCUUGCCUACGCAGCACGGCCAUCGUUCAUCCAUAUAUUUAUAUGUACAUUUUCUUAUUCAUUCCUUUACACUCGUGUGUAUAAGGUAGUUGUUGUGAAAUUGUUAGAUAUUACUGCAUGGUCGGAACUAGAAGCACAAGCAUUUCGCUACCCUCGCAUUAACAUCUGCUAACCAUGUGUAUGUCUGCUAACAUCUGCUAACCAUGUGUUUGAUGAUCCAGAUACUCAACUAGUCUAAAGAAGGCCAGUUUUAUUGCUACUUUAAUCAGAACAGUUCUCAGAUAUGCUAACAUAAUUAGAAAAUAGUUUUCUAAUGAUCAAUUAGCCUUUUAAAAUGAUAAACUUGGG
ensembl:lncRNA